AAUGGACCACGUUCGAGUGUAACUGAUGAUGAGUUGGGGAAUUGGGAUCACGCGACAGAUGUGGACGAGACUGGAAGACCACCGAGAGGAACAGACACGGGGGUCCACGGAGGCAGAACAGGACGGCAGGAGAAGAGGGUGGUUGAAUUGGAAAAUAACUGCCCCCUUUUCUGUCCUGUGAGAACCUGUCACAGCAGCCACUUGGGAGACAGAAUCUCACCGUGCAUGCUUAGGGCUACAGGGACAGGGCCCAUUCCAGGGCUGCUCUGCCAAAGGAAAACACACCAAGCUCAGCAAAUUCAGCAGCCAUUUUCUGUCCCCUCCUCUGUUCCACCGGACUCAGCCCUCGCAGGACUGAAGGAAGGGAAGGGUAGAAAGCGUCCCAGAGAGAAAUGUUAAAGAGAGACAGUGAAGGAGAAGAAGGUCUCCGCCUCCUUCAUCCCCCCGCUGAAGGUGAGCUGACCCAGGUAUCACUUGGAAUUUCCCAACAAGAACUUCCAGAAAUCUAAAUAUGAGAGUGAAGAGGAUGCAACACAGCCCCUAAGAAUUAUUUAAGAAUUGUAACACAUAGCACGUGGCAGUAAACAAGUACAGCGGACCCUCCAGUUGCAACCAGCCUGACAUGCGAACAACUUGGGUUAAUAAGGUUAAUAGGAGAUUCACCUGCCUCUUGUUAUUUACAGUGAGUACCCAGUGUCCCUGCCACCUGGCUGCUCACAGAAAAGGAACAGAUUCUAGAACAUCACUUCCCAAGGUGAAGUAUAUCCAUUUCAAUCUCUAAAUGAGGAAACUGCUGGUGCAGAAAAUCACUAAACAAAAAAGCAUACCCUUCAAAUGCCCUCAUGAAAGGACAUAUUCCCUGGCAGUGGAAUGAAGAAGCAAGCAACCAUUACAAAAGGGCACCAACACAAAGGAAAUGUGCGCACUCCAAAGUUCUGCGCCAGUCUCCCAGAUUGGUCAGCCAUUGGGUGCAGUGCUGUGCCAACAGCAAGGCUCUGGCAGAGGAAGAGAGAUCCCAGGAUGCAUUGCAGGGUCUCCGGAGUGGCACCAAGAAGAGAUUUCACAGUCCACAGCCAUGACCUCUGAGUUUCAAAACGCUAUGCUUAACCCAGGCCAAAGAUACCUUAGCUCCUUCACAAACUCAUCCCAGUCUACCCUACCCCAGCAUGUGCUCUCAGGUAAAGCUUUGCAAAGUACAAAUUCCAGUUUUCCAGGAUGCUAUGUCAUAAUGGCAAAAAUAUUGUAACUUGAUGUAAAAUGUGUUGUCAAUUCCUAAAUCUGCCUCUUACUAUUUUAUAAACCC